rnacentral:rRNA from 1 species
GGAACACAGGUGCUGCAUGGCUGUCGUCAGCUCGUGUCGUGAGAUGUUGGGUUAAGUCCCGCAACGAGCGCAACCCUUGUCAUUAGUUGCUACGAAAGGGCACUCUAAUGAGACUGCCGGUGACAAACCGGGAGGAAGGUGGGGAUGACGUCAAGUCCUCAUGGCCCUUAUGGGUAGGGCUUCACACGUCAUACAAUGGUCGGGACAGAGGGUUGCCAACCCGCGAGGGGGAGCUAAUCCCAUAAACCCGAUCGUAGUCCGGAUUGCAGUCUGCAACUCGACUGCAUGAAGUCGGAAUCGCUAGUAAUCGCGGAUCAGCAUGUCGCGGUGAACACGUUCCCGGGUCUU